rnacentral:lncRNA from 1 species
GGGCUUGAUGGGUGGGGCCGGUGGGUGCUGUCUGAGCUGGUGGACUGAGGAAUCCAGUGCUUCUCUUCUGGCUACCCCCUCGUUGUCAGGAAGGACCCCCAGGCCACAGAUGGGGAUGACAGCAGGUCCCUUGUCUCUGGCUGGGCUGUGGGAGAGGGGCAGGGAAAGCCGGGGCAGGAGGGCAGUGGGCAGACCCAGACAGGGGGGACGGCUGGGGCCCUGUCCCGAAGAGACGGGAGGGCCUGCUGGUGGGGGGUGAGGUGGCACUGGGGCAGCGGGUGUCUGGGCCCCUCAGUGCCGGCUCCUCCUCCAGACAGUCUGCCUAGCUUCCGUUGCUCAGCAUCCCCAGCAGCUCACUGGGCUCCAGUCCCUGCGGCUGGGCCACCGUCUGCAUGUCGAAGCCCAUGUGCAUGAGGAACUGGGCCACGUUCAUCUCUUGCCCCGUGAACUGGUCUCGGACGGUGGGGCAUGAGGGGUUGCAGUGGGGCCAGGGGCAGCUGUCCACCAGGUGCACGUUGUCCACCGUCAGCUGUGCCUCGUCAAACAGCCACUGCACC